CAGGCGAUUAGGAACCAUCUAAUGCUUGUGCCUUAGUUGGGCCGUAUAUCGCCAAUAUCAUUUGUGCGCAUUUAAGGUCAUAUGUGUGUUUUUAUAACGCAUGUAUAUAACCAUUGCGACCUACAAGA
rfam:Dictyocaulus viviparus strain HannoverDv2000 D_viviparus-1.0_Cont156.39, whole genome shotgun sequence.